rnacentral:rRNA from 1 species
CCUACGGGAGGCUGCAGUGGGGAAUAUUGGACAAUGGGGGGAACCCUGAUCCAGCCAUGCCGCGUGUGUGAAGAAGGCCCUCGGGUUGUAAAGCACUUUCAGUGAGGAAGAACGCCUGGUGGUUAAUACCCAUCAGGAAAGACAUCACUCACAGAAGAAGCACCGGCUAACUCCGUGCCAGCAGCCGCGGUAAUACGGAGGGUGCGAGCGUUAAUCGGAAUUACUGGGCGUAAAGCGCGCGUAGGUGGCUUGAUAAGCCGGUUGUGAAAGCCCCGGGCUCAACCUGGGAACGGCAUCCGGAACUGUCAAGCUAGAGUGCAGGAGAGGAAGGUAGAAUUCCCGGUGUAGCGGUGAAAUGCGUAGAGAUCGGGAGGAAUACCAGUGGCGAAGGCGGCCUUCUGGACUGACACUGACACUGAGGUGCGAAAGCGUGGGUAGCAAACAGGAUUAGAUACUUGUAGUC